ACUAUCGAGUUUGGAACUUGGGGCGUGUAUGUGUGUGUGUGGCAGGGGGUUACAGGGUGGUUGGGGUAAAAGAGGUGGUGUCAGUUGUGUAUAGGGGGUGGACAGAAAUCCUCCAGCCUUAUUCCACUGAGGUAUGGGAGGCAAGCUGGAGUUGUAUGGUGUGAGUUUGGUGGAUCAUUUUCUUUGUCGUUUUUUGGAGAUUUGGGUUGUGGGAUUCCACUGGCACUAAGACAGUAAGCACCUUAAAACUAAAUGCACUUUAUCAAGAUUGGGAUUCUGACGAGGGUUAUAUAUAUAUGGUAUAUAUAUAUAGUAUAUAUUAUUAUUUGUGUGUGUGUGUGUGUGUGUGUGUGUAGGUGUGUUUGAAUUUCUGUUGUUGCUUGGGUUUUAUUUUACAUGCGAACACAUCAUCCAUGUGUGUAGAAGAGGGAUGUGAGCUAGCCCUCUCACCCUGCAACGUGAAUGUGUGUGUCCGUCACAACUGGAAAGUGUUUUGUUUUCGUUUUGUUUUGUUUUUCUCUUCCUGAUCUAUGACUGGGGUUUAAGAAGUGAUUGAGUGUGAGUGUGUGAGUGUGUGAGUGUGUGAGUGUGUGAGUGUGUGAGUGUGUGAGUGUGUGAGUGUGUGAGUGUGUGUGUGUGUGUGUGUGUGUGUGUGUGUGUGUGUGUGUGUGUGCGUGUGCGUGCACGAUGGGGGUUGGUGUAUAUAUGUGUGAGUAGGCCUAGAAUACCAGAGGGACCGAUGGUUUCUGUUUAACAAACAAACAAAAAAAAAACCCUAUCAGACAAACAAAAUCCUUUCUUGAAAGACACUGUUUAUUUUCUACAUUUCUAUAAAAGGUAAAGCUAUUAAAAUGAUUUAAAAACUUGAAUAUUUGCACUUGCAUAAAAAAUAAUAAGAAAAAACAAACAAAAAAAGUCAAAGUUUAUAUAGAUGAAUAUUUUUGUGAAUGUGUUUGCGUGAAUUUAAAAGUGUGUGUGAGGUUGUGCUUUUUUUUUAUAAAGUAUGUAUGAGUGUGAAUGUCUUACUGAAGUGUGACCGAAAAUAAUGUCGGCACAAUUUUUUCUUUUUGUUCUCGGUUUGCUUACCAAGAUUUGUGAAACCAACGUGAGGCCAUUUUGUCAUUUAGUUUAAAUGAGUUUUACUUUGUUUAUUUUGUAUUUCUGUCAAAGAAUGUCUGUGUGGUCUCUUCUGAAGUGUGUGAGUGGAGUGCAGGUGUGUGUGUGUGUGUGUGUGUGUGUGGCACAGACAUGAAGGUGAGGGAGGGCAAUAGAACAGUGCAUCCUUUUUUUUUUCACCAGCACUCAUCCCCAGGUUGUAUUUUUUUUUUUUUCCCUCUCCUUUCAUUUGCAACCGAACUGGUAUGGGUGCCACCUUCUUUGCCAUUAGCCAACACUUGUUUACCUGCUUACCUGUUCUUUUGGUGGGAACUAGGAAGGUCUGGAGGUAUGUGUGUAUGUGUAACAGUCUCCAUGAUCUGUCACCACGGUUUCGCUUUCUGCAUCUAAGCCACUCGACCACAACUCUGUGCCUCUGUGAGGUUCCAGUAGCAGAAUGGGAUUGAGGUGGACCUUGAAUCUGUGUGUGUGUGUGUUUGUGCGCAUACGGCUGUGCGUGUUAAGCAGAAUGAGGUAUCAUAAGAGGUACUCAUUGAAUGAAUGUGAUGUGAUUUUUGUUUGCGAGUGUGUGUGUGUGUGUGUGUAUGUGUAUGUGCAUUUCCACAAGUGUGCCUAUGAACUAAAAAGGGUCACAGUUCGCCGCAGCCAUGGAGAUUUAAGGCGGUUAUUAUGGGGUGGCGGAGCUGUUUUGAAUCUGUGCCUCAAUGGCUUACUAACCAUGAGAUCUUGCACGACGUGCUGUCUGAUCAUUCUCCGUGGGGCGUAGCACAGUCUGGAGAUGGUUCAUUUGAAAAAGGAAAAAUUAAAAAAAAGUAGUCCAGUUUGAUUUCUCCACGGGGAUGUGAGCUUGUUGCCUUUUGUCCGCUCUCUUGCUCCUGGGCGAUUGAGUAAUUCUGAUUGUGAUCUUUGCUCUAAAAGUUCAAAAAAGUAAAAAAAAAAAAAUGUAAAAAAAAUAAAAUAACUUGGCAUCAUACUGUGCAAAGUGCACAAAUAAGGUGCACACAAUGUUAGUAAAUUGUUACGUAUUCAUUGUUGUUGCUAUUGUUGUUGAUUUCUUUUUAUAUAUCUCUAUAUAUAAAGAAAUAUAUAUGCAUUAUAUUCAAAGUUAAAAGUAUUUGGACUAAGGUUAAGCACUUGGGGCUGCUAUUUUUUUUCCUUCAGUUUCAUUGCCACCAUGUGAAGUGUUGUAUUAUUUCUUUCUUAAAAAAAAAGAAAAUGUUUGAAUGUAUUCCAAAAAAAAAAAAAAAAGGACAGGAGAAAAACCUGUGAAGCCGGAAGAUUUUUUUCCUUUCUGUUCUCCGAUACUUCAAGAUACAAACGUGGAGAACCAAAAAGUGUUGAAAGGCAACAAAGAGGCUCAUGGGAUUGGAAUCCUGUUUCUCACUCUGCUUUUGGAUUAUCUCAUCUUACUUGUGGACAAAGAAUGGACGCUUGAUUGAACACACUGCCUCUUACAGUCCUGUUAAUAACAAAACAAAAAAAAAAAACAAUGUCAUGAUGAAAUACAUUAAGAAUCUGACUUUUUUUUUUAUUCCUUACUGGAUAUUUCAUUUUUGUUGUUUACAAACCAUGCGGAUUACUUUGGAUGCAGUUUUGGAUUUUGACUGGGGAAAAGUAAACAUGGGGUGGGAGAUGGAGGUAGACAUGGAGGUGCUGUAAAGACUGUUCAGGAAGCGACCGUUGACAGACGUCGCUCCCUCUAGUAGGUAUUUCACCAUCACUGUCAGGCCCCCUCCUGUUGUCAGACCUCCCCUGAUGGGUGAUAAUAUUGUUGCAAAGAACAUUGCAGAUCAUUGCAUAUAAGAUUGUCUCAAGCGUUUUUGUUUGUUUGUUUGUUUGUUUGUUAGUUACCUGGGUGCCCAAUGGUGGAAAACCUCAUUUUCAUGGUAGCCAUUUGUGUUUACCGAUUUUAAGUCCUUAACUUCCCCGCCCUCCAUUUUGAACUGAAUGAAUCAUUGUGGUCAGGACUGGAGAAAUUCAAUAAGCAUUCACAAACAGAGCACACCAGAAUUUGUAGGUACAAGGAAUCAGAAAUGCAUCUAGAAAGAACCCCCAUUUUUGAUGCUUCUCCCCACCCUACAUUCUUUCAAGGACUAACUCCUGGCUUAAGCAUUUUGUUUUCUUUUUGAGAAGCAACUCCAGGAACUAUGGGACAUGUCUUAUGGUGAAAAGAAAAAAAGUCUGAAUCCUGUAGAUAUGUAAUCCAUGAAUGACCUCAAGCCACCUACCAUCGAUCGGGCAGUUUGUGCAAAUAGAAGAAGAAAAGUCAACUCACCCCUAUCCAAAAUCCCCAUCCAUCGAGGGUUUGAAAAAGGUGUUUUUGUUAUGGGCAAUUCCUAUUAAUCAUGAGGUAGUCUAUGCAAAGGACUACCAGGAUGUUUCCCAAACCCUCAUGCUUACAAACAAUAGACACUGCCCUGGCACACUUGCUAUGCACUUUUUCUUUCGUUGAAACUGUGAGGUUCAUCUGCAUUGGGAGGGGAGCACCAAGUUUUGUGCCCACUCCCUUCAUACAAAAUGAAUAAGUAAAAUUGAAAAAAAAAAAAAAAAAAACUGAACUCUUGGAGGGAUGAAAGAAUCCCAUCACCUCCUUUGUAUAUUGACAUAUUUUUGUACAACCUUCUGUUUGAAAGAAGAAAUAUGUGGGGAAAGAUUAAAACGGGUUUGAGGCGACAGAUGAAGGAAUCUCAUUAUACAUCAACAACUAUGAAUGUUUCUCCAAACAGUUUUUAUACAGCAGGCUGAAAAUUUGGGGGAGGGGGGGGACGUACAUGGAUCUUGAGUCCCCGUUAUUGUUGAAUGCGGGGAGGACAUUAAAAGAGCAUGAAUGGGACAUAUUGCUGAAUAGUACAAGCAAAGCCAGAUUGUCACAGUACCACAGAUUGGCAAUGACUGCGCACUCUGUCCUGCAUACUCACACUGUGGGAAUCGGUCAGGAUCUGCAGACAUACCUGAGAAUGAGUGGAGUCCCUUCAAUGAGUCCCCUCAAGACUUGUGAAUAGUCUGAAAAUGUGGUUGAUGGAAUUGAAGACGUUCCUGACAUCCAUCAUCCUUCGCAGAGCCUUGAAAAGAUUUCGGUUGGACCUGCAGGACCAUCAAAUUGGAUGGUCUUGAUCCAUGGACUUCAGGAACCAGAGCAUCUCUUACUCCUUUCCAUCCUUUCUUACCCCUUCUCUACACCCUGUCUCCACUCUCUUACCCCUUCUCUACACCCUUUCUCCACACUCUAUUACCCCUUCUCUACACCCUUUCUCCACACUCUCUUACCCCUUCUCUUCACCCUUUCUCCACACUCUCUUACCCCUUCUCCUUUCUCCACACUCUCUUACCCCUUCUCUACACCCUUUCUCCACACUCUUACCCCUUCUCUAAACCCUUUCUCCACACUCUCUUACCCCUUCUCUUCACCCUUUCUCCACACUCUCUUACCCCUUCUCUACACCCUUUCUCCACACUCUCUUACCCCUUCUCUUCACCCUUUUCCAGCCCCCUCAUACUCCUCCUUCCAGUUUCCUUUCUUUACCUCCUCCAGAGUUCAAAAGGAUGGCUUAGGGCCAAUAGAAACAUGUUAGAAGAUUGAAGAGAACACCUGAUCAUUGGCCACAAAGCUGAACCAGAUAACUCUGAUGAAGUCGAGGGUCCUAGUGUAUCAGCUACUUCACACAGUCACUCUGGACUACUGCCCUUUCCUGCCCUCCUCGACUCUUAGUCUUUUCUCUCGGUGACCUUGGAGGACAACCAGAAUCUACAGAGUUGGAAGUUCAGAUCUAUUGGGGAGAUGGUCACCUCGGCUUUGAGGAACAUAACCUUGGACAAAUCGAGGAAAUGCUUGAGGACAAAAUCCUUGCCGAAUAAAAGACAUUUGGUUGGGUCUGUGCGACUGGACGUGUCCUGUUAUCGGAUGGAACUCUGAAGGGAGUGACCCAACCAACCAAGACCUUGACUGGCAUACGGCUAUUUCCUAGACCGACACCUUUAACUGCAGAGGGUCUAGAAAGAUGCUCCUUUACACCUUUAUGUGUGGAGAUACUGGGUGCCAAUGGCGAUGGCUCUGAUGUCAGUACAAAGCAGAUGCCCAUGCAACUAGAGCUUGCAUUGUUACUCUUCCUGCAUACAUGUACAGAACACACAGACAAACAAGCAUAACAUUUUACAUAUUUCAUAGCCAAGUGAAGUUUUCUCCACACAGUUUUCAACAAAUAGCAAGGUUAUUGAACCGCAUUUGGCCUAUUUGGCCAAAAGCACCAUAUUAAUGUUAAACCCCCAGAAAGCAUGUGUAUGGUCACUGGAAGGUGAUGUGACCAUAUAUUCUGAUUGUUGUAAAUGUAGUGGACAUCCUUAAAUAUAUUGGCCUAGUCCCACAAAGGUCUUCGCUGCUUCAGUUAGUUGACCUCAUUAGACCACUAGACAUCCACAGGUUACACACAUCAAAAAACCCUUAUAUACAAACACAUACAAACUCCCCACAGACAUCGUUGCAGACAUAUACACACUGUCAGACACAUAGGAUACACACAUACUUAAACACCUUUUGAUAGGUGGAAUCUGUAAAUAGUGUACAAAGUUGUAUCCAUUUUGCCAUUUUUUUCUUAACAUGUCUUUAUUUUCCUGAUCAACAUGCCUUAACUGUACAGCAUAACAUUGGGUGACAAGAAAGACACAGAAGUGCUGAGUAAUCCAAGUACAUAGUUUAGCGACAAACUAUGCUAAGUUCAUUAUGUAAGUAAGUGGUAAACUCCCUGUUCAGCCGGCCAUAUGGCUCUUUAUAAGAGGGUUACCAGUUACUUUACAUACCCAAGUUUGUCACUAAACCAAGUACUUGGAAUCCUCUAGGUGUCUUUGGAAAGAGAGAUUUGGAAACUGAAGUCAGGUCAAGAGUUAUAGUCUCCAGGAUGAAUUAAUGUGGGAAAUUUGAUUCACGUGUCAGAGGUAUUCAACAGAAUGGUACUAGAGACGAACUCAGACAGCUGAGACAAUGGUAACUGAGAGAAAGACAGAGAGAAAGAAAAUGACUCAUGAUGGUGGUUUUGCCUUUUGUUCCUGAAACGAACGACUUUGUAAAGAUUUCCAGUUUUAAAUGCCUCUACAUGUAGCUGAGUUCACAGGCAAGGGGGAUGGGAGAGCCGGUGUUCUGCUAAGUUGAGCUGAGCUGACUGGGAAAGGGUUAGCGUGCUAAUAUUAGCAUGUUCAAAGUUUAGCCUACAGCCAAGCUGACCCUCUAACACACUUAUUGGCGCCUUUAUGGAUGUGUGAUUGCUCAGACAAUUUGGGUGACUGUACUUGUUAACUUCAUGAACUGCAUUAUGCAAUCUUUUCUUUACCUAAUCGUGGAUUCCUUUCCUGUCCUUGUGUGACUUAAAAUUGUGGUCUGUGGAAAAUGUGCAACAUGAAGGUUGCUUUUGGCCCCCAGAUUAUUGCAUGAUAUUACAGACUGGCUUUGACAAUUUGGUGCUUGGGUGGCAUCCAUAAUAUUGGGCUGUUGGCGGUUGUCCGCAAAAUAUUUUUUGCCUCCCAACUUUGUUUUGGUUGUGUUAUAACUGAAAUACUUAUAUUUUUGCCGAUAUUGUUCUUAUACUUAGUUCGAUAUCUCACAGUGUGAGUAGUAGAGAGCAUGGCCGAAAGCAGAGUUGCAUAAUGCAGUUUCAAAGGAGCACAACGUUUUGGGAAACUAUACUUUAUUUGAUGUCUACCCGCAGAGCUAGAUAACAGGAUAGCCUACCUUUCUCCUCUUGGUGUGUGAAAUAACCCAGUUUGAUACUUUUAGCUUAGCUUAGCAUAAUUCACUGUUAAUGGUUAUACCCAUAGAUGUAUAUAUGUCUAUGGUUAUACCAGUUAACCUAUAGCUCCAUGUUAGCUAUAGGAAAUCUGAAAUGAGCCAUUUCCAAUAAAUUAUGCUAUGCUAACUGUAUCAAACUGGGUUAUUGCACGUACAGAGAGGAGUGUUUGCAUCCUCUUAUCUGACUCUAGGGGUAGACAGUAAACAAACUAAUUACCCAAAAAGUUGAUGCGUUCCUUUAAAGAACCGCUUUAGUCUGCUGUCUGUUUUGCAUGAAGCACAAUUGGAUAAUCCUUCCUAAUCAUUGGAUAUAUUUACAAAAUGUUGAUGGAAUGCCAAUGAUUGUUUGAACAUGCAGUAGUUAAGAUGGAAAUAAACUAUUUUGUUUGGAAAAUUAAGUGUACAUCCAUUAGCUACAAAAGGCAUUUACGUUCUGCUAAUGAUUCUCACUUGUGGGAAUUUGUUUAUGCAUUUUGAGGAAAUGACAAAAUAAUUAGGCUACAUUAAUUGUCAUCAUUUUUUUUUUUUUUUAGUUGCCUCUGCUUGACCAGUCAGCUCAACCCCUUCUGCUUACAAUUUAUGAAUGUUUUAGUGAUAACAGAGUUAAUAGGAGAAGAACAACCAACGUAAAACUGUACAUAGUUUGUUUGUUUGAAGAGAUAAAAUGAUUAAACAAAUACAAUAAAACAGA